AUUGGCCUGUGGAAAAAAAUGUAGUAAGAAACACUACAUUUUUUCAGUAGGCCGAUUU
ensembl:miRNA